CCCCCGGGGGCAUUGCCCCCAGUACGGCGAGUGAGCGGCAAAAGCUCAAAUUUGAAAUCCUGCGGGAAUUGUAAUUUGAAGGUUUCGUGGUCUGAGUCGGCCGCGCCCAAGUCCAUUGGAACAUGGCGCCUGGGAGGGUGAGAGCCCCGUCCGGCGCACGCCGACUCUUUGCACCGCGGCUCCGACGAGUCGAGUUGUUUGGGAAUGCAGCUCUAAGUGGGUGGUAAAUUCCAUCUAAAGCUAAAUAUUGGCGAGAGACCGAUAGCGAACAAGUACAGUGAUGGAAAGAUGAAAAGCACUUUGAAAAGAGAGUGAAACAGCACGUGAAAUUGUUGAAAGGGAAGGGCUUGCAAGCAGACACGGUUUUACCGGGCCAGCGUCAAAUAAACGGGGGGGAAAAGGGGGAAAGAAUGUGGCGCGUGCCUUCGGGUUCGCGUGUUAUAGCUUUCUCUAAUACCCCCAUGUUUGUUUGAGGCCUGCGAUUCUAGGACGCUGGCGUAAUGGUUGCAAGCCGCCCGUCUUGAAACACGGACCCAA
rnacentral:rRNA from 1 species